AUCAUAGGUUCACCAUUACUUAGUAUAGUAUAAAUAGCAAUUAGCAGCUAGGAAAAAAAGAGAGGGAGGGACGGAGGCUCAUGUAAUGCUAUUUUAUUAAAAAAGUUUUUUCUUCAUCUUGUUUUUUGUUUGCUUUGCCUUUUUAAAAAGCAUCCUUUUAAAAAAAUUAGUAAUGAUGUUUUCAUUUCAGCCUUCACUCUAGUAUAACAAUUAUUUAUUUCUGCUUUCUAGGUGCUGUUAUAUUCUAUUUUUGUUAUUGUACUAUAUGAAUAGGUGAGCUGUGUAAAUAACUUUGUAGCACUGAAAAAUGUUCACGUUUUCACCAGCUGCAUGUAUCACUCCCUGUGAAUUAGGUGGUUGGCAUGUAGAUAAGAUAUAUGGUAUACUUAAGAAAUUAGGGCAAAGGUUCUUGGCAAGUCUCAUUAUAUGACUUCAUUAGUGUUAAUAGUAUAUAUACAUAGUAUUCCAGACACCUGCAGAGUAUUGGGAAAGGCAUCAAGAAAAUACCUAUGUUUGCUACAACUCUUACCUCAGCAAUUCAUCUGUCAUUCUCCAUGCACGUGUUUGCAAUAACUUCCCCCUACCCUUUUUGCUGUCCUUCUCUGUCUUUCUCUGACUGUAUACAUUUCUUUAGCCCUUGUCAGAUGUUCUUAAAAUCAUGUCCUUUGCCAACAUUGCUCAGAUGUUGCAGACAUCUGUACACGAGUUGGGCUUGUGUGGAAGCCAAUAUGUGUACAAAUGUUCCCCCCUGCAGAUAUUUGCACAUUCAGCUGCACAUUCAAGAUCUUGUGUGACAUCAAUGGGAAAUAAAGCUUAACUAGAAUGCUCUUGUUUUCAAAACAAAUGAAAAUAUGCUUGCGUCAUAUUUGAUAUUUCAUAUAAUUCAAGAGGCAGCUAAUUAAUAGUAUGAGGCAAUAUUAAUAGAAAGAGCCUCCUUCUGUUACCCUCUAUUGAGAUACCAAAUCUUCCAUUUCACAAGUUUUACUAUAAGGGGGACGUUUUGAUUUAUCACUAGGGCACAGAAUGUCAGAAAGUCAAGUAUCCCUGGAUAAUUAAGACAUGCUUCAUUCCAUCCCUCAUUUCAUUCUAAAGGCUGUAACAUACUUCUACAAUGCAGCAUUCCUAUAAUGUCUACAAUACAAGUACAGGCAUAUUAUUGGCAUCAACCAAGUUUGCCCUAGGUAUAUUCCUUUAAUCAUACAACAUAAACUCACAGAAGCAUUAAGUAUCAUUUCAGAAUAAUACAACUGAUAACUUGUGACUUAUGCAAUUUCCCAUACCAGAAUACUGUUUUCUCAACAUAACUUUAAAAUUAAAAAGAAAAAACAAAAACAAAAGUGUCCAAAAGGACAGAGAAACACAAAAUGCUAGAAAGAAAACAUUACAAAACAAAACGCAAGUGAUACAACAUGGCACAGUGACAAAACCACAACAAAUAGAAGCCAACUUAGGUUAUGACAUUGACAUGCCUUUUCAGUUCAGUGUUAGAAAUAAGGCUUCAAAGGAAAUUCAUGAAAGGAGAAGUAAAUCUGGUUUAAUCUGAGAAGGAAUCAGAAAAAUGCAGCCAAUGAAAUGAUUUUCAUAUCAAGUUUUCUAUUCAUUUAUUCUCAAGGAGCAUAUAGGAAAUUGUCUAGAACUGAUGCUUUUUCUUGGAAUUUGAGAUCAGGUACAAAACUUGAAUGUAAGUUCUUCUUAUAAAAUUCUUAGUAAUUCUAUCAAACAAACAAAAACAAGUUCAUGCAAGCUUGCCACUUACUUCUUUCCAUUAACAUUCUUUCCUUAUAAUCCUCACCUACUACUCACAUUCUACUAUUCAUUCUAUUAACUAUGGCAAAGCAAUCUUCAGGGAGUUCUUCCUUCCUUUCUCCUUUACCUAUAUGUAUGUAAUGUACGUACAUACCAGGGGUGGUAUUCACUUACCUUCGCUACCGGUUUGCAAAUGUGAGUGCGCAUGCGUGCUUGUGUGUGCCUCCUCCACACAUGCGCAGAGACCGCUACACAUGCGCAGAGGGUCAAAAACGGGACGUGAUGAUGUUCAUGUGGGUGGGCAGAGCCUCCCUCUGCCAGUGCUACUGGAUUGCGCGAUCCGGAUAGAACCGGCUGAAUUUCACCAUUGCAUUGGGAACAUUGUGUCUUACCAACAUUUUGGAAUGUGACAGAGCGGUUCGAGGGGGAGGAAAUGCAUAAUCUGCUGUUGCCAAAUCUGGAUAUAAAACCUACAAUUUCAAGAACAAAAUUUAAAAGCAAGUGGUUUUGAUUUGUUUUUAAAAUAUUUUUUAUAUUUUAAAUGUAAAUUGUACCACAUUUAAAUUUCAUAUUAAAAUUUAACAAAUGUUUGCAUUCUUGUAUCCUUAUUAUUUCAGUCUGAUGCUAAAUAUAAAGAAACAAAUAUUAAGUCGGCUAGGAAAUAUUCAUAACUCGAAGCAGCUAACUGUGAUCUUAAACUUGAAAGGGGAAAAACUCAACCAGAUUGAAUAAUCAACAUUAUACAAAAGAGGAUCCCUUUACUGAAAACCUUCUCAGAAAACGUACAGAAGAGUUUUUAAUUAUGAUUGGUCUGUGUUUGUCCAAUUUCUUUUCAUUGCAACAAUUAAAUACAUUUUCAAUUAA